ensembl:lncRNA
CCCUAGCAACCGUUUUUCAAGAUCUAUAUCUCUGCAUCAGCACAUCGUACAGACAUGGGGGUUGGUUUAUAUUGGCAAGCAGCCUUUGAGUAUCAUCAUUGGCAGAUGCCAAUGCACUCCCUAGCAACCAAACAGAGUACCCUAGCAACCGUUUUUCAAGAUCUAUAUCUCUGCAUCAGAACAUCGUACAGACUUGGCGGUUGGUUUACAUUGGCAAGCAGCCUUUGGAGUAUCAUCACUGGCAGCUGUCAGGCCACUCCCUAGCAACCAAACACAGUACCCUAGCAACCAUUUAGUAAGUCUUAUAUCUUUACAACCGAAAUUUGUAUCGACAUGGGACUUGGUUCUUUUGACCCAUGCUAGUAAACAUGAAUUCCAACAUGCUAGUAAUGCUAGCAGUGAACAGCUACAUGCUAAUAGUGAUUAGCUAAGAGAUAAAUCAGGCUAAGAACUCUAUGAAACUAUACAGUAAUGAUCUGUAACAACUAGCAAAUGCAUAGCAAACACCUCAGGUGCC